UGGGGAAUAUUGCACAAUGGGCGAAAGCCUGAUGCAGCAACGCCGCGUGAGUGAUGAAGGUCUUCGGAUUGUAAAGCUCUGUCUUUUGGGACGAUAAUGACGGUACCAAAGGAGGAAGCCACGGCUAACUACGUGCCAGCAGCCGCGGUAAUACGUAGGUGGCGAGCGUUGUCCGGAUUUACUGGGCGUAAAGGGUGCGUAGGCGGAUGUUUAAGUGAGAUGUGAAAUACCCGGGCUUAACUUGGGUGCUGCAUUUCAAACUGGAUAUCUAGAGUGCAGGAGAGGAGAAUGGAAUUCCUAGUGUAGCGGUGAAAUGCGUAGAGAUUAGGAAGAACACCAGUGGCGAAGGCGAUUCUCUGGACUGUAACUGACGCUGAGGCACGAAAGCGUGGGUAGCANA
rnacentral:rRNA from 1 species